rnacentral:rRNA from 1 species
UACAGAGGGUGCGAGCGUUAAUCGGAAUUACUGGGCGUAAAGUGUGCGCAGGCGGCUGAGCAAGUCGGAUGUGAAAUCCCCAGGCUUAACCUGGGAAUUGCAUCCGAUACUGGAUGGCUUGAAUCCGGGAGAGGGAUGCGGAAUUCCAGGUGUAGCGGUGAAAUGCGUAGAUAUCUGGAGGAACACCGGUGGCGAAGGCGGCAUCCUGGACCGGCAUUGACGCUGAGGAGCGAAAGCCAGGGGAGCAAACGGG